CCGCGGUAAUUCCAGCUCCAAUAGCGUAUAUUAAAGUUGUUGCAGUUAAAAAGCUCGUAGUUGAAUUUCGGGAUCCAUCCGUUGGUCGGGCCUUGGUACGCACUGGCAUGGUUGGUUUCUACCUUCUGAGGAACCCUGAUGUUAUUUAUUUUGGGUGGUGGGGAAUCAGGACUGUUACCUUGAAAAAA
rnacentral:rRNA from 1 species